rnacentral:rRNA from 1 species
GAUGAACGCUGGCGGCAUGCCUAAUACAUGCAAGUCGAGCGACGAGUGGACAGGUGAGUAACACGUGGAUAACCUCCUAUAUGACUGGGGUAACUUCCUGAAACCGGAGCUUAACCGGAUACUUAUCGAUGAAUCGGUUUUGCAUUAGCUAGUGGGUAAGGUAACGGCUUACCAAGGCAACGAUCCAUAGCUGACCUGAGAGGAUGACCGGCCACACUGGAACUGAGACACGGUCCAGACUCCUACGGGAGGCAGCAGUAGGGAAUCUUCCGCAAUGGGCGCAAGCCUGACAGAGCCAUGCCGCGUGAGUGAUGAAGGUCUUCGGAUCGUAAAGUUCUGUUAUUAGGGAAGCGUUACCUAAACAGAAAGCCACGGCUAACUACGUGCCAGCAGCCGCGGUAAUAC